GACGAACGCUGGCGGCGUGCUUAACACAUGCAAGUCGAACGAUGAAGCAAAGAAUCGAAGCUUCGGCAGAAAUUCAUUUCGGAUUAGUGGCUGACGGGUGAGUAACGCGUGAGCAACCUCCCUCUUACAAAGGGAUAGCGUCGGGAAACCGGGAUUAAUACCAUCUAACAUUUUGACGAAGCAUUUCGAUGCAAUCAAAGCUACGGCGGUAAGAGGUGGGCUCGCGUCCCAUUAACCGGAUGGUGAGGUAACGGCCCAGCAUAGUGACGAUGGGUAACCGGCCGGAGAGGGGGAACGGUCACACUGGAACUGAGACACGGUCCAGACUCCUACGGGAGGCAGCAGUGGGGAAUAAUGCACAAUGGAGGGAACUCUGAUGCAGCGACGCCGCGUGAGAGAUGAAGGAAUUCGUUACGUAAAACUCUGUUCUAUGGGAAGAAAAGGACUGUACCAGAGGAGAAAGCGCCGGCUAAAUACGUG
rnacentral:rRNA from 1 species